GCCGGCAGCUAGCAGGCAGCUAACUCUCUGCAACUCUCACAUGGUCAACCACUGAAGCUAAGCAGGGCUGCGCCGGUCAGUACCUGAAUGAGAGACCGCAUGGGAAAGCUAGGUUGCUGCCGGAA
ensembl:rRNA 5S_rRNA 5S ribosomal RNA